rnacentral:rRNA from 1 species
AUUGAACGCUGGCGGCAGGCCUAACACAUGCAAGUCGAACGAGUGGCGGACGGGUGAGUAAUGUCUGGGAAACUGCCUGAUGGAGGGGGAUAACUACUGGAAACGGUAGCUAAUACCGCAUACCAUCAUUUUUGCCCAGCUGGGAUUGGCUAGUUGGUGGGGUAACGGCUAACCAAGGCGACGCUCCCUAGCUGGUCUGAGAGGAUGACCAGACAAACUGGAACUGGGACACGGUCCAGACUCCUAGGGGAGGCAGCAGUGGGGAAUAUUGCACAAUGGGGGAAAGCCUGAUGAAGCCAUGCCGCGUGUAUGAAGAAGGCCUUCGGGUUGUAAAGUACUUUCAGCGGGGAGGCGUUACCCGAAGAAGAAGCACCGGCUAACUCCGUGCCAGCAGCCGCGGUAAUAC